rnacentral:lncRNA from 1 species
UUUAUAGAGAAUUCUGGAGCAGCAAUUAAAGCGCCAAACCAGUGCCCAAUCAGAAAUGCUCUGAAAUCUGUCGACCCAUCAUUUCAACAUUUCCUUUUCAGUUUUGACGAUUUCAGUCACCCGAAAGCUUAUCUUCCCAAAACAUUUCUAUUUUCCAUGAAGCUUUCCUUCUCCUACUACUUUAUUCCCCAUCAGAUUUCUCAAUCUAGUUCUUGUUCCCAAUCAAGCAUUUCUUGAUCUUCGGCAUAAGCAGGGACUUCCAUUUCCAGGUACACUUCCUCUCUUCUCUUUAGAGUUUCAGUUGCGAUGGUAUGAGCGAAGGUAUUUGUUUGUCUCGGUGUGUGAUUGAUUCUGAUUAUGUUCGUUUUUUUACUCUCCUACUGUAUAUCAUAGAUGUAUGUCGCUAUUAAUGACCGAUCCUGAUUUUGUAUUUUACAUUUUCUGAUUAUUACGAGGGAAUCUCCUUCGAUAAUAAUUGAGUGCCAGCCCUUUUCCACCCUUGUUUGUACUGCUUUCCAACAUGCUAUUGCUUCAGCAGCAAAGGCUAAGGUAAUCCCGUGAUGAAUCUCUGAACGUGAUAAUAGAACUCUUCCAUCCUUAUUUCUGGCUACUAUACCUGAAGCCGACUGGUUCUGCCUCUCAUUGAACGCACCAUCAAAGUUGAUCUUGACAAAAUUAUUAGGUGGGCGCUGGCAUUUUCUAUUAUCUACUCUUUUCUCUGAUUUCCUUUUAUCAAAACCAGAAAUCCCUUUUAUGUAAUUAUUGAUGAAGUCUGCAAUUUCCUUACCAGUUCUAACCUUUCUUUCAUGAAUUCUUUUAUUUUGAUCUCCCCAUAUGGCCCAAAGCGCGCAGCAGAAAAGACGACAUUCGCAAGGAGUGAGCUGCUCAAAAACCCAUGUAAGACACUUUAUAAAAUCCAUGUUUUGAGCCAUAAUUUUAUUCUGAAUGGAUAAUGCUGUCCAUACUUCCAUUGUAAGAGGGCACUCUCGGAAUAAAUGGUCAAUAGUCUCAACCCCUUCCCCACAUCGAGGGCAGUUUGUGUAAUUUGCAAGGUUUCUGCUCCGCAUAUUAGUCUUUGUAGGCAAAUAAUUCCAUGAAAAUUUUCAAACUGUAAUCUUUAUUUUUUCUGGUAAAUUAAGGAGUCAGUUUUUUUGUAAAAAUUCCUAUAGAUGGUCUUUAAAGCAUAAGCUCUCGGAAUUUCAUAAUAAUCUUGUAAUAGUUUAUAGUCACUACGCACUGAGAAUUCGCCCGAAGACUCUGCCCCCCAAGUGAGAAAAUCAUCAUGAGGUGUCUGUGCCAAGGGAAUACGGAGGAUUCUUUCAGCAUCUUCUUCUGAGAAGGUAUUAUGAAUUAACUCAUUUUUCCAUAGUCUAUUACUGCUGUCAAUCAAAUCAAAUACUUUAGAAUCGCUCAUAGUAUUAACUACUGUGGAUAAUCUAAAAUCUGGAGCCUCUAGUAUCCAAGCAUCAUGGUUAAUACAUAUGUUAAGACCUGUACCAUCCCUCCAACAAAGCCCUUUUUCCAAAACGCCUUUAGCUGCCCAAAUACUUCUCCACACAUAAGAACUGGAAUUCCCCAACCGAGAGUUUAAAAAAUGAUCAUUUGGGAAAUAUUUUGCUUUAAAGACUUGUGUAACUAGAGAAUUCUGAUUAUUAAUAAUUCUCCAGCCUUGCUUAGCUAAUAGUGAAAUGCUAAAAUGGGCCAUAUCUCUGAAACCCAUUCCUCCCUCCACUUUAGGACAGCACAUGAAUUUCUAUUGAUACUAGUGGAUUCCUUUUUUCCUUUUUCCUUUUUGCCACCAGAAUCUAGCAAAGAUGUUCUCAAAAUCCCCACAAAGUGACUUAGGAAAAAGAAAACAAGUCAUUACAUAGGUUGGUAUGGCUUGUAGUACGAAUUUUAUAAACACCUCAUUUCUCCUUUGAGAUAGGAGUCGUGUACUCCAGUUUUCAAUUAUUUGCUUUAUCCUAUCCUUAAGAUUCUGAAACGACUCCCUCUUUCGUCUACCCAUCACAUUAGGGAGACCUAAAUAGUUCUCCAUAUUUGUCGAGCACCUUACUCCCAUAUCAUUUGAAAUUUCUGCUCUAUCCCCCUCUGUCAUGUUAAAGUUGAAGAAAAUUGUUGAUUUGUUGAAGUUAACACACUGGCCGGAACAUCGCUCUCACUCCUUUAAAAUAUCCUUUAGAAUCCUUGAUCCCCUUUUUGUGGCUUCACCAAACAGAAUACAAUCAUCCGCAAAUAGAAAAUGUGAAAUCGCUGGUCCUUUUCUGCUAGCCUUAACACCCUUUAACAAUCCCUCUUUUGUAGCCAACCUAAUCAAAGAAGAUAAUCCUUCAUUGCAUAUCAGAAAGAGAAAAGGGCUAAGUGGAUCGCCUUGGCAAAGCCCUCUAUUCGGUUUGAAAACAUUUCCUCUACUUCCAUUAAUGUUCAUACGAUGCUGUGGAUAUACACCUCAUAAUUAGGGCCACCUGUUCUUCUGUGAAUCCCAUCCGAAUCAUUACUUCCUUCAAAAAAACCCAUUUAACUCUAUCAUAAACUUUACUCAUGUCUAGUUUUGCCAUGAAUCCCUUCUUUCCUGUUCUUUUCUGGCGUAAUGUGUAAAAGCUCAUAGGCUAUUAACAUGUUGUCAGAUAUUAAUCGGCUCGGGAAAAACAUACUUUGGGCAUUAUCAAUGCAUCUUCCAAUAAAUUCCUGGAGGCGAUUUGCAAUUGUUUUGGCAACAAGCUUUUAUAGAACUGUGCAUAGGCUAAUAGGUCGAAAAUUCACAAGAUUUGUAGGAUUAGAAAUUUUUGGAAUAAGUACCAAUUCCGUUAGAUUUAAAGAACCGAAAUCCUUACCCUCAUUUAAGACACCUAAACAAAAAUCUGACAUCUCAGCCAACAAUGUGUCAGAAUUUCUGAAAAAAUAAACCCGAAAAAUCAUCAUGUCCUGGUGCUUUAGUGGGCCCCAUGUCUUUAAGAGCCGAAUAUACUUCCUCUACCGAAUAUUCUGCCAAUAAAGCUGCAUUGAUAUCAUGUGAAAUGCUAUUAUUAAUGCCUGAUAAAAGUUGGGAUAAAUUCCCCACUCCAUUAGAUGAAAAAAGAUUCUGGAAGUAAGCUCAAGCUGCCUCGCUUAUUUCAGUUUUAUCAUAGAUUUCCUUACCCUCAUCUGUUUCCAGCCUGUUUAUUGUGUUGAUCCUUCUUCGAAAGGAGGCAAAAACAAAUUUAACUUUUAGUAUUUAAUCAAUACUAAAAUUUUAAAAUGUAGAAAGUUAUAGAAAUUAAAAAUGGCAUAAUACAAUGACUAAUAAUAAUUUUUAACUUUUAUUUUAUUAUUCAAAAUAUAUUAAAAAUAAUUUUAUAUUAAUAUUAUAUAUUUUCAUGAUUAUUUUAAUUAACUUUUCUCUUUUGUCAGUCGACUGUAAGAAGUGAUGGAGUUGAAUGUUGUGGUCAACAUCAUCUCUGAGAGUUGGGAUUGGAGGUACUCAUGGGUAAGGUCAGGUCGGGUUUGAGCCCGGCCCAUACAAGAUUUUUAGGCCAACUUUUCAAGCUUGCCUCAGUCCGACCUAAAAAAUGGUCUUAUUUUUUUCUCUAAGCCCAACUCAAUUUAAUAAGGUAAACUUGGCUCGGCUCAACUCGCCCAUAUUUGAAUUUUUGUAGAAGAGUUUAUUUUUAAAAAAUAAAACAUAUAAUACACUAAAAAUGCUAAAAUAAAAGUUUUCUAACACAUUAAAAAUAUCUAUAUUAAAAAUAAUACCAUAAAUAUAAUAAUUAUUUUAUUAUAUUAAAAAAUAUAAAUAAAUAUAAUAAUUGUUUUAUUGUAUUAAAUAUAAUUUUUAAAAUGCUAUAUUUUGGUUUAGGUUAUUUAGUUUGGUAAGUUUUUUUUAGGUUUUGAGUAAUAAGUUUAAUUGUUAUGGGUUAGUGAUUUAAUAUAAAUAUAAAUACAUAUAAUUAUUAUUUAACAUAUAUAAUUAAUAUAAUUAUUUU